UUCGCCUUUCAGUGACACCAAUGAGAUUCUCUGUGGUAGAGAAGCUGUAGCACCAUUACACAAUUGUGCCACUUAAAUGACCAGGCUGGGGGACAUUAUGAAACCAGUUCUUUGGAAAUAAGCAGUCCAGCUUCCUCUCCAGAAAGAUGCCCUCCAUACAGCAAUCCCGUUACUUAUUUGGAAGAAUUGCCUUCAGCAUUGCCAGAGAGCUGUCACGGUGUGCCUUACUUCCCAACUUUGGAUCCAGUGAUCCUAAAAAUUCACACAUUCUGACUAAAAGGCUUACUUUCUUCUAUCUUCAAACUUUAUUUCUGAUGAAAGUUUUAAAUUGAUUUUAAAAGUCUUUGAAAUGUGCAUAUUAAAAACAAUGUCACAUACCUUUUGAAAGCACCUGUUAUCCUUCAUAACUCUACCCACGGUGAGAUGUACAAUUAUGCUAGUGCAGUUAAUACCACUUUUUAUUCUUACAUAUAUUACCCAAAGUGCUAAGAACAUUUAUUUAGACUUAAGGUCUCAGAUUAUAGGUCUUUCAUCCUAAUUUUAGUGAUUCUAGAACCACCUAGUCUUACCUUUAUUUUCCAAUAUUGGUUAACCCAAACUUUUUUACAAGACAUGUUUUUCCUCCAGUUACAAGUAAGCAUCCUGAAGGUUCCACUGUGAGUAUGCAUAGAACAAUCAUUAUGAUCAUCAAAACUUUUGAAAACUACCAAGUAAUUAGGUAACUAGACAAACAGAAAAGUAGAAAUCAACCUAAAAUAAUAUUGUCUUAAAAUUAGUUGUUUGGGUAGCAAAAAUGAUAGAUGCUAGUAUAUUGGCUUUUUUGAAAAUUGGUUAAGGAAAUUGAAAGUAUUUUGACCCAUAUUGUAAAACUCUGUAGAAAAUUAACUUUAGGAGUCUCAGUGAUACUUUAGGGUUAACAUUAGAAACACUCUGACAGCAAACUAGAACAGUUAGACAUAUUAAAGAACUGGGCCUCGGGUCAACUUUGAUGAGUAUAUCCAUAGAGAGAGGAGCACAGAAGGCACAUGGGAGAUGAUACACUAUGGUGGGCCGCAUUCUCCAGGCUUCCUUUUAUCUGAGUUGGGUGGUCAGCUACAUGGAAGUGGGAUGCAAAGUAGCAGGUUUCCCUCCACAGAGCUGAUCGGUGAGUGGGGACAAACCACAGUGGUGAAACACGAUCAAGGUAGAUGGGGAUAGCAGUCCAGACAGCGCAGAAGUUGAUAGCUAAGAUCAGUAUUUUUUCACUCUAUUUGUAAAUGACUCAGAGAAGUUUCUACUAAUCCACUAUUCACACUCUGGCAUGAACACAAAUUAGAGAAACUCAUAAUAUAAACUUCAGGCAGUGAUUAUGUUGAAGAAUAAAGGAACAUGAUUUCUCUAUUCCUAUUAAAAAUCAUAAGCUGGAAUCAGAGGACAGAAGUAAAGGGUUACAAUGGAAUGUUCUGUGAUGAUCGCCCUCAGCUCUCCUGGAGUCUCAGCAUUAUAAAGCAUUGUCAGGUGAAUUAUACCUUAGGUUUCUGAAGCAGAUUCUGUAACCCAGCCUGCCAAGCGACCAAGAUGUGUCUCCUACAGGAUCCAGAAAGUACAGCUGGUUUUUACCGUCUCUCUCCAUUUUAACUUCGUUUUAAAGUACAGAUGCUACUAUAAUUCAAUGGAGAUCAUAUUUAUAGACAUAUAGAAAGUUAUAUGGGUAUUAUAGGCAUUGAGGUGUGUAGGAAAAAAGGUAUCUGACAAGAUAAUGAGCCAAACUGCUCCCCAGUUGCUCAGUGUUACAAGUGAUUCCAGAAGCAGAAGCAAGCUGGAUGGAGCAGGUAGCUUAAUAACUUUUUACCAUGCAAAGCCUUUUUGCUGCUAUCUAGGACACCAUGGCCAGUAUUAGCAAGUAUUAUUGAAGUUACAUCAAGUAGAUGGAGGCAUUCCAAAGAGGAGCAGCGUGAAUCACGAAGUCUGGAAGGUGGACAACAUGGAAAGGUCUAGCAGGUUAACUUCAAAAGACUGAGCAGUAAGCCAGAAGGGUGAAAAGAGGGAAAACCCACAGCAAGGAAUUAAGACGAGGGGCUGUGUUCCC
rnacentral:lncRNA from 1 species